rfam:Clostridium sp. DMHC 10 contig_15, whole genome shotgun sequence.
AUUUAAAUACAUCCUAUGUUAAGGUUCAAC